rnacentral:tRNA from 1 species
AAGGUUUAUCGUGAUAGGAUAAAUUAUGUAAUACUUCAUUUUACCUUUACUA